rnacentral:rRNA from 1 species
GCGUGGGUGAUGAAGGCCUUCGGGUUGUAAAGCCCUUUCGGCGGGGACGAUGAUGACGGUACCCGCAGAAGAAGCCCCGGCUAACUUCGUGCCAGCAGCCGCGGUAAUACGAAGGGGGCUAGCGUUGUUCGGAAUUACUGGGCGUAAAGGGCGCGUAGGCGGCUCUGUGCGUCGGGCGUGAAAUCCCUGGGCUCAACCCAGGAGUGGCGCUCGAUACGGCGGAGCUCGAGUGUGGGAGAGGAUGGUGGAAUUCCCAGUGUAGAGGUGAAAUUCGU